rnacentral:tRNA from 1 species
GACCGCGUAGCUCAGUUGGCAGAGCAUUGGACUAGUAUUCCAAAGGUCGUAGGUUCGAAUCCCCCCGUAUCCA